UACGUAGGGUGCGAGCGUUGCCCGGAUUUAUUGGGCGUAAAGGGCGCGUAGGCGGUCAGCACAAGUCAGUUGUGAAAUCUCCGGGCUUAACUCGGAAAGGUCAACUGAUACUGUGCGACUAGAGUGCAGAAGGGGCAACUGGAAUUCUCGGUGUAGCGGUGAAAUGCGCAGAUAUCAGGAGGAACACCGGUGGCGAAGGCGGAUCUCUGGGCCGAUACUGACGCUGAGGAGCGAAAGCGUGGGGAGCGAACAGG
rnacentral:rRNA from 1 species